UCUCGAAAAUGCAAUGGACUAUAGACACACAAAACAAUACUGUGAAAGUUAAGAGACAAUAAUCAACACGCUUAUACCUUCUUGAUGGAUCCCCACUAAUCAUCCUGAUAGAACCUAUUUUGGUCACCUUCAUUAUUCCUGCCAUCAUUGCUCACGUGAACUCCUUUUACACAAUGUCCAUAGACUAAUCUAUGUAAAAACUCAUUCUUUUAAAGCAGAGUCUCAACUCCCUAAGUUCUAAACACAAGCCUCUCUCUUUUCUCUCAACUUCAAUUCUUUUUCCUCUUCAACCCAACCUUGUUCUUUAUCUUUCUCAUUUGAAUCUUCAUCUUUUCUUGAGUUAGAGGGUAGAUUUGGGUUCAUGGUGGAGUUCUCUUUCAAUCCACCCGAACAGAUUCUACCUUCAAGUGUAAUUAGGGUUUUACAACUCAAAAAUCAUAUCGGGGGUUCUUCGUUGUUUCAGCUUUGGUCUACGUUUGAGAUGAAGAUGCAGGUUUAGAAACAUCUCUAAAGGAUGAAGAGUUUGUAAUAAGAGUCUCGAUAUUAUAACAGAGAUCAGAGUGGU